rnacentral:lncRNA from 1 species
AACCACAAGUUUACAAGUCGAGGCAACAUGACAAGUACGAUCCAAACCCAAAAAUUCAUUUCAAGAUACACAUCGUGGAAGAGAAAACAUCAUCACUGAAACUUCCAAACAAAUUAGAGAAAAUGUAAAAGACAACAAGGGACAGAAUGCAACUGAAAUGGAUAUCCCAAUUUCUCAAUGAGUGCAGUAAUUACACGAGCAAAAACGAAAUCAUGCUACAAUGGGAACACAAAUCAGACAGAAGCUCGGACGGACCCUCACCUUCAAAUUCAAACGCUGACACCUUUUCAUAUGCUCUGUGUUUUUUUUGGAAUUUUGAGACCAGAAUCAAACAUUUAAUGACCCCUAUAUUCUCUGUUCCCCGUUUGUUCAUAUGGUCUGCGCCUACUGAAGGCUGACGACAAAGAAGCUGGUUCUUGGAGGUGCAACGACUGUCUCUUUGGAGUCGAAGAUGGAGAUGAGGAAGGGAACGACUGGUCACAUGGUUUUGGGUCAGUUGGGUGGUCGUUCAUGGGGGUGUUGUUGGAUAUGGUUGUCGAGAUGUGGUUAUUUACGGGGAAGAAACAAAAGUAGCAAUGGCUAUGGUGGUCCGGCGACAAAAACAGAUGGAGAUAAGGUGGUCUGGCUGGGGACAUUGAUGGAAGCUGUGAGCAGCUGCAGCGGUGGAGUUCCGGCGAGGCUAUGGAGGUGUUAAUACAAUGUUCUCAUGGGUGUCACGUCCGGUACAGGGAACCGAUUGGAGGUCUGAUUUUGAGAAUUGCGGAUGAUUUUUUCAAAGUGUAGUGAUCUAGGUUUUUUUAGGAAUUUUUACAUGUAUAUAUCAAAUAUCAUACUAUAUUAAAUAAUAUGUUUA